GAUGAACGCUGGCGGCGUGUCUAAUACAUGCAAGUCGAGCGGUAAGGCCCCUUCGGGGGUACACGAGCGGCGGACGGCUGAGUAACACGUGGGAACGUACCCCAAAGUGAGGGAUAAGCACCAGAAAUGGUGUCUAAUACCGCAUGUGAUCUUCGGAUUAAAGCUUCGGCGCUUUUGGAACGGCCUGCGUCCGAUUAGCUAGUUGGUAGUGUAAAAGACUACCAAGGCGACGAUCGGUAGCUGGUCUGAGAGGAUGAUCAGCCAGACUGGGACUGAGACACGGCCCAGACUCCUACGGGAGGCAGCAGUAGGGAAUUUUCCACAAUGGGCGAAAGCCUGAUGGAGCAACGCCGCGUGCAGGAUGAAUGCCUUCGGGUUGUAAACUGCUUUUAUGUGUGACGAUUAUGACGGUAACACAUGAAUAAGGACCUGCUAACUACGUGCCAGCAGCCGCAGUAA
rnacentral:rRNA from 1 species